rnacentral:rRNA from 1 species
UACGGAGGGUGCAAGCGUUAUCCGGAUUUACUGGGUUUAAAGGGUGCGUAGGCGGACUUGUAAGUCAGUGGUGAAAUCCCGGGGCUCAACCCCGGAACUGCCUUUGAUACUAUAGGUCUUGAAUAUUGUUGAGGUGGGCGGAACGGGUCAUGUAGCGGUGAAAUGCAUAGAUAUGACCCGGAACACCGAUUGCGAAGGCAGCCCGCUAAGCAAUGAUUGACGCUGAGGCACGAAAGCGUGGGGAUCAAACAGG